UAGGUAGGCUGAUUUUACAUAAUAAGAUAUGAAACACCCAACGUGGGCUAUGUUGAAUGACCCAGUGGCCAUUUUUCUUAACAAUUUGGAUGUUCCAAAUUUUUUAUUUAUUUAGAUGUUUGUUUUUGGUGGUCCUACAGCAAAAUUGGGGAUCUGUUUCUCAUAUCAUCUAUAUUCAUUUCUUAGAUCAGCUAAAACAAUACUGAUUUGGAGAGUGGCCAUUUUUCUUAACAAUUUGGAUGUUCCAAAUUUUUUAUUUAUUUAGAUGUUUGUUUUUGGUGGUCCUACAGCAAAAAUUGGGGAUCUGUUUCUCAUAUCAUCUAUAUUCAUCUCUUAGAUCAGCUAAAACAAUACUGAUUUGGAGAGCUCACUAUGUGAACAAUACUGAUUUGGAGAGUUCACUAUGUGCUCCAGAUCAAUCCCUUCUCCCUCUUGACCAGUAUAGGAAAAAUCGGACCGUUUAAAUUGGAACUGCAGGUUAGAUCGGAACAGACCAUAUUUCAGUUUUGGCCAGUAUUGGUGAGCUGGUCGGGUAUUUAAAAAAUUAAAAAUUUUAUAUAAAAUUUUAAAAAAUAAGGGAUUUUGGCAAAGAUUGAAAAUUGUUUUAGUCAUUACCACUUAUUUUUACAUUUUUCCAUAUAUUUGUUUUAGAGAUUUUCAAAAACAGCCCGAGGCUCAAAAUCAAUUCUUUAAAAUCCAUCUUUCUCAUUAAUUUUUAAUUUCAUAUGGAUGUGCUUUGUUUAACCGCUCGGGGCCGGUUGAACCGGCCGGUUUACCGGUUCCUAUUGAGUAACUGUUUCCAGCCCCAUGUUUAGUUAACUGUUCCGGUUCGAUUUUUCCUACACUGCUCUUGACUAUCCUUUUUUUGGGAAUCAAAUCUAAGCUUUUUAAGCCGAUAAUCACUUCAUCCUUUUCAGAAAAGGGAAAGCUUUUUAUGUUCCCACUACAACAUAGAAGUUCUAUGUUCCCCUUGCCAUUCAGCUCUCAAUUUUUUAUCAAGAGAGCUACUUACAGUUUGAUCUUAGAUCUUAGAUUUGACGUCUUAAAGUAUUUUAUUUUUAGCUUUUUUAAUAUAUUUUUUUGAAUAUGAAAUUUGGUACGUGUCACCUUCUUUAUAGGGGCGCACCUAUAAAAAAUAUUAACAAUAAUUUUUUGAUAAAAAUUAAUAACCAAAAUACCCCUUGAAACUUUAAAGGGUAUUUUGGCCAUUUUAUUUUAUUAAAAAUAUUUUUUUUUUAUUUUUUCAUUAGUACGAGUUUAAUAUAAGAAUGGAUGCUCAAAAUUUGAUGUCAAAACAGUUUAUAGAAAAAAAAAUUAAAAAUAAAACAGUGUCUAGACGUGACAUUGUGAUUGGGGCAAUCUUAGCCCUCCAUUAAAAAAUGGACGGUUGGAUAAAGGGGAACAUAGAACUUCUAUGUUAUAGGGGGAACAUAGAAAUAUUUCCCUUCAGAAAAAUAAGGUCAAUAAACUGAUCUUUAUUCAUUUUCAAAUUACAAAAGCCCCCUCUAAUUAAGUGUCGUUGCUCGUGAGAUUAAAAGUAAAGUUUGCUCUUGGUGGACGACGAUAUAUGCACCCUUUUUUAAUGAUCCAAAUUACAUGACGUUUGUGUAAGGUGCCCACCUUAUACUAUACAAGUGUCACCUCAAAAUUGUGUCGGAGGACACGAUUCCAAUGUUAAAAAUCUUAAGAUGGCUUUAACAUCUAUGUUUCAAUUGUAAUUAUGAAAUUUAAAAUUUCGAAAAUGUAGAUCGAGCCUCGACCCGUAAACACUUUGGAAAUUUUAAAAAUAUGUUGUUUUUAGGGUUAGGAAUUGUUUUUUUCUUUGUAUCCUUAUAUCUUUUGGUUGGGAUGAUCAAUUGGAAGGUUUUCUAGAUUCAAAACACUAUUUUCUACUGGAUCUUUAAAGUUUACCGUACUUCUAUAGUAUAUGGUUACAACUUUAUAUGAAGUUUUUCCAUAUAUAAUGAUUUUCUCUUAUGGACGCUAUUAACUUGUGGAAAUGCAGGCACGUUAAUAAAUCUAUUUUUGGGAUGGCUCUUUGGACUUAAUUUUUAGGGAUAUGUAAUCUUUAGCGUGGAGAUCAUGAAUAUGAAAAAAUAAAUAAAAUUUCAAAUUAAAAUGAUAAGUCUAUUAAAAAAACAUUUGAACCAUUAAUUUCAAUUGUUUUUAGAUUGACCAUACGUUUGCAUCCACUGUUAAGAUGAAUUCUUUAUACUUCUAGACGACAUGUGUAGAAAUGCAAUCUAACGCGCAUGAAACAAUUUUCCUCCUCUUACUGCCAUAUGUUGUUUGAAACAAUUUUCCUCCUCUUACUGCCAUAUGUUGUUUAAAGAGGGAAUAUUUUGUGAGUAGACUUAGGAGAGUAUAUGCUAAUUUUAUUAGGUGUUGGGACUUCAGCAGUGAGAAAGAUAGUCAUGACUAUUGUUUACAAAAUCGCCCAAUCUAACUACUAACUACCCGGUUAAAUCGGAACCGGCCAGUGGCCGGUUUUAGUUUUGGGCGGUUGGUGUGAUCAACUGUUAUUUAAAAAACAAAAUUAAAAAAAAUGUAUAUAAAUUCUCAAAAAUAAGGAAUUUGAAUUGUAAUGCAUUUUUUAAUAUUCUUUACAUUAUGGUAAAGAUUAAAAAAAAAAAUUGAUCAUUAAUACGCACUUUUAUAUUUUUCUCAUUUUUGAUUUUUUUUAAAAAAUAGCCAUUAGAAAAUAUAAAAUGGAUUAAAAUCUAUUUUUUUCAUUAAUUUUCAACUUCUAUUGAAUGUGUUUUGUUUUAAU
rnacentral:lncRNA from 1 species